CCUCUUUAAGAUGUGUCAUUUGCGCAACAAACAUCACUUUAGUCAGAUGCAUCUCACAAAGCAAGUUGUCUGACUAUGGCGAAAACUUUUUGGAUUGUAUCUUUAUAAGGAAACCUUAAAGGCACACAGACGGCAUGAAAUUCUGUGCAUGCGUCACACAGCUCCUAUGACUGGAGCUGCCUGUACUUCUGUAAAUGAUCAGCCCCAAACUUGCACUUGUAAAGAGAAGAAGAUCAGCAGAACUCCUCCUCAUGUUAGCCAGAGCAUCUCCUGUACACAGAUGGCUGAGCUGCUGAGUGGGUUCUAAGAGAUUAAGAAAGAGAUGAAUCUCUACUCAACAAUUUGGAGAUUCAUUAUGAUACUACAUUUUUCCAUUAAGGG